CAUUAGUCGAUAGGGCCCGCAGGGCUGGGGAGAACCUCUGUGUUCGUCGCCAGUUACAGACGUUCUUGCCAUGGAACAACAACCUGAUUUCAAGGUACAAGACAUAAAAUAAUUUGUUACAGUAUGUGUCUAAGCACACAAGGCUGAAUUACGCCGACGUAAAUUCCGCCGCGUUUACGCCGCGUAUCAAACCCAUACAAAUUACGGACGUAACGCGACAGACGACACACUAUGCCGAAAUUCCGUCGCCAGCCGAAUUUCCGUCGAGCCGAGUCGAGCGUAAAGUUCGGCAGCGAUUCGGCGGUAAUGUUUUGUAUAGCAACACACUUAGAUACGCGACGGAAUUAUCAAAACCGAAUAUAGCAAAUCAAACCUUAACUCCAAAUCGUUAACGCAGAAUUUUAAAUACUCACUUACGCGCGCGUUCCGCAACGAAAAUUAUGCCGCGAAAUUUCGGCUCUUCGCGUUAAAAUUUAUAGUGUCGCGAUCAGACG